rfam:Clostridium sp. DL-VIII chromosome, whole genome shotgun sequence.
CUCUUAUCAAGAGAGGUGGAGGGAAAGGGCCCUAUGAAACCCGGCAACCUGUAUUAUAUAAGGUGCCAAUUCCUGUAGAGGUGUUUCUACAAGAUAAGAA